rnacentral:lncRNA from 1 species
AACAGUUGCUUACUUCAGAAAAGCCAUCAGGAUCCUAUGUCUUAUGAAGAUUAAAUUUUUAGUAAACAAAGCAGUUGCUUACCUCUUCAGUGGACCACUUUGAUUUUUGCUUCAGAUUAUGAUGCAUCUGUAUAAUUAAAUGUUGUGUUCACUAUCUAUUAUUACACUGUAUUUUAUUCUGCCUGACAGAUCUAUUUUGAUAUAGUGCCAUUUUCAGCUCUUGUGUAAAGAGCUAGUGCAGUUCAAAUGGGCUUUCCUUGUAAGCCAAAACUACCUAAAUGUAAAAAAGCAUAUUUCAUCUUCCAGUUCCUUUUUAUCCAGGAAAGCUGAGGCAGGACACAGGAGAUGUGAACAAUUUUAUCUCUCAGUGACCAUGAAGUGCGUGACAGAUACCAGUCAGAGUUCUAGGUUGCCCAGUGGGGAGCAUCUCUGUUUGCGUGGGGCUAUUCCUCUGAUGCCAGCUUCACAAAGAGUACUUACGGACUGCAGGUACUUCUUGUGCAUGGAACACGCUUAAAAGGAGGACCGAAAAGCCCCUUCAAAGGUAUUGAAUCCAUUUAUUUGCACCAAAGCAACCACAAUUGUCCUUGCAGUGCAUGUUCUUUACUUGCCUCUCUGUGUAAAGUACCAGACUGCCUCUCAUGACCAAGAAGUAUUUGCUUAAUAUAUAUAUAUAUAUAUUUAUGUAAAAGAGCUAUCACUACAGGUAUAUUAAGAGCAAACUGAAACUGUCCAUGCUGAUAGAGCUACCACUUGAACUAAGAACACUUACCUAUCUUGUAAUGUAGGACAAACCACAAGCAGGAACCUUCUGUUUCUACACUGAUAUUGUUUAGAGAUCCUGAAGAAGAGAGUACAGAAGUGCUUUAUGGAUGUACAUGGUCACAGCACUGGCCUUUACUUGAGAUCAACUUUCAGUGGUAGGGCUGGAGGCAGAUGUGUUGGGACGAUGAAGAUAACAAGCUGUGAAAUGUUGUAAGCUCCUCCCUGAAAACAACACAGAAACUUUGUCUAUACCAAUAAAUCCCAGCAUGCUUGGAAAACUCCA